rnacentral:rRNA from 1 species
AUUGAACGCUGGCGGCAGGCCUAACACAUGCAAGUCGAGCGGAUGAAGGGAGCUUGUUCCUGGAUUCAGCGGCGGACGGGCGAGUAAUGCCUAGGAAUCUGCCUGGUAGUGGGGGAUAACGUCCGGAAACGGGCGCUAAUACCGCAUACGUCAUGAGGGUGAAAGUGGGGGAUCUUUGGACCACACGGUAUCAGAUGAGCCUAGGUCGGAUUAGCUAGUUGGUAGGGUAACGGCCUACCAAGGCGACGAUCCGUAACUGGUCUGAGAGGAUGAUCAGUCACACUGGAACUGAGACACGGUCCAGACUCCUACGGGAGGCAGCAGUGGGGAAUAUUGGACAAUGGGCGAAAGCCUGAUCCAGCCAUGCCGCGUGUGUGAAGAAGGUCUUCGGAUUGUAAAGCACUUUAAGUUGGGAGGAAGGGCAGUAAGUGAAUACCUUGCUGUUUUGACGUUACCAACAGAAUAAGCACCGGCUAACUUCGUG